UUAGAUUUAUCUUCUGUUUGAUCUAAUUAACUAUGAUAUAUGGUAGUGAAGUUUGCAUGAAUGUUUAAAAUAAAUAUGAUUUUACUUUCUGAAAGUAUAUUAAAUAUUAGUUUAUGUUAACAUACAAAAUAUUUGUUUGUUUUGUAGCUGUACAUGAAGAUUUGUAACACUUUAAAAAUGAUAUACCAUGGAUUUUACCAGUUUUCAGUUAUAUAAAUGUUUUAGAGUUUUUGUAGGUUUAUAUAUGUUUUGGAGAAAUGUGAUGAGUAUGAGACAUUUUGGAGAUAAAGAUGAAGAAACUCUUAGAUGUUCAUAAAACCAUCCAGAGCCGACAUUCAGAGUCACCCGUCGAUCGACAAACACUUUUUUUCGUCGAUCGACAGCGACGCGCGAGAGCGGGUCCACUUGGUCAAAGCCGACUUGAAGCCCAAGUUCCACAUAAUUACAAAACUACCCCUGGCCAACUUUAAUCUAAUAUUUAUGUGUUUACCAUUAUAUUGGAAAACACAUGCUUUCUUAUUUUCUAUUAUUCACACCAUACAGUUUUAGAGUUUUAGUAAUUCCC
rnacentral:lncRNA from 1 species